GACAGAACUGAUAAGGGGCAUCCAGUGCCAGGAAAAGGAACGUGCAAGUAUUCUGCUGGAACAUGGUGCCAAUCCAAAUUUUGUGGACGUCAAUGACAACACUGCCCUCACUAUGCUGCCCUUGGUCAGAAUAUAUCCAUCGCAGCAAAGCUGCUUUCACACAAUGCCAAUAUUGAGGCAUGAAACAAGGUAUUGAUGUCUUUUCUCAAGAUAUCCCUGGAUGGAUUGCAGAAGAAUGUGCUCAUCUUAGUGGUCUUCGUAUAUGCGUUGUCAGCAUUAGGAGUAGGAGGAGUUCCCAUCAUGGCUCAGUGGAAAUGAAUCUGACUAGCAUCCAUGAAGAUGGAGGUUCAAUCUCUGGCCUCGCCCAGUGGGUUAAGGAUCCAGCAUUGCCAUGAGCCAUGGUGUAGGUCACAGAUGCGGCUCAGAUUUGGCAUUGCUGUGGCUGUGGUGUAGGCUGACAGCUACAGCUCGUAUUUGACCCCUAGCCUGGGAACGUCCAUAUGCUACAGGUGAGGCCCUAAAAGGCAAAAAAAAAAAAAAAAAAAAAUUAAAGGAGUGGGAGAAGAGUAAGAUUUACAAUCACCUUGGGAUUCUGAGGUACUUUAUUAUUACUGGUAUUAUUAUUUUAAAAUAUAAGCACUAGUGAUGUUAAAACAUAAGAGAGAGAGUGUUUUGCCUUUACUUUCUCACCUUUCAUUUACCCAUCAUAUUUCUUUCAUUAGCUAUUUUAGUCAGUAAUUAAUAAUUAUAUGUGAAAUAUAAUACUAUGGCAUUGGGCACAUCUGUUAAUUUGCAAGAUUCACCUAAUGAACCCCCAGUGUAGUAUAGUGCAAAAGCAAGACUAAGAAGUUAUAAUGUCUAGGUUUGAAUUUUGAAUUUAAGUUUAUCUAAAAAUGAAAGCAUUAUUCCAGGUCAGUCUAUGGCCAAAUCUAUGUUUCUUUGAUGUACAUGGAUGUGUAAAAUUCCUAGUGCAAUUCAGAGAUAAAUAGGUUGAACUGUAGUUUUUUACAACUUCCACCUUGAAAAGAUAGUGCCUGAGACUUAAAAUCUUUUACUACAUUUGGAUUAUCAGUUAGAUCUAGAUCUGUAAAGAACCUAUCAAGAGAAAUAAAAACCAUGGGAAUAGUAAUGAAUAUGCAGGGUUGUGAAAACAAGAGUUUGGUGUAGAGAUGUUUUAAUGAGUACAAACCAUUUUGGAUAGUUAAAGUAGCAUGCACUGAGUCCUUUUAUGGCAGCUGUACCUUCAGUAAUGCAAGGAUAAAGUAAUGAUUACUGUUCUCUGGUGACAGCUAUUGAGAGAGAUAAGAAGGGCCUAAUCUCUUAGAUACAGGUAGCUGCUGCAGAGUGGUAUAGUGCUGUGCUUGAAGUCCAAAGACACAGUAACAUCCUGGUUCUAUCACUUACUAGGUUUGGUAUCUUGGGAAAAUUUGUCUAACCUGUUUGAGUAUUGGUGACCUUGUUCAUAAAAAUGGUACUGCUUCAUACUUUUCAGGUAAGUAUAGUGAACAGUUGUGGUAAAAAAUGGGAAAACACAUUGUAAACUGUAAAGGAUGCAGUUUAUAAAUGUAAGAAAAAAUGAUCAGAGUGGCAGAGUUCCUGCUAUGGCUCAGUGGCUUAAAGAUCUGGUAUUGUCCCUGUGGUGGCACAGAUUUUGAAGCCUGGACCAGGAACCUCCAUUAUGCCUUGGGUGCUGCUGAAAAAGAAAAGGAAAAAUGAUCACAGAGGCAAAUAGUGGCUUACUGAAUGUUGAGGGUAUUUUUUGUCUCCUUGGUUUUUUUUUUCCCCUUUUGGCCACACUUGUGGCAUGUGGAAGACCCAGGGCUAUUGAUCAAACUGCAGCACAGAAGCAACCCAAGCUGCCAAAUUAACAAUUCCAAUCCUUAUACCACUGCGCCACAUGGGAACUCCAAGGAUACUUUUUAAAACCUGAAGGACAAUAAAACGAUAGUGGUGUUAAGAAUGGGAAAGUUAGAAUAGGAGUGUGGAUUUCUAACUUGUGGUAUGUGAAGUUUCAGUAGACUAUUGUCAGAGAUCUGCUAUAGGUAUAUAGUACUCUCAAGAUUUUAAAUGUUUUGACCUUAAAUAAAUUCCUUUUAUUGAAUACCAACUAUGUGCCUGGUACACACUGAGUAUACCAGCUGAGGAGUUAGGCUGUAGUGGCAGGAGUAGAAAAACAAGUAUAAAGAUCAUUCUUUAUAAGUCACUGUAAGUUCUUCACAUAAAGAAAAUGGAGAACAUUAGGUUAGACAACAUUGAAGGGAUUUGGAAGAUGAUGGAAGUGAGGGUGGAAAUGAGGUCAUUAGAAAAGAUCUGAGUAUGACAAGAGCUGCUGAAGGUUGGGAAGGAGCCAGUCAUGUGAAGUUUUAGGGAAGGGACCUUCUGGACAGAGAAGAGUGGGUUCCCUCUGUUUAUCAUUUUACUCCCACAUCUUAGAAUGACCAGGAAUCAGGAAGUGGGGUAAAUGUCCUUGUGAUUGAUCAUUUUUUUUUCCAGCCCCACCUGGGGACCCCUGCCAGUGCCCCAAGCCCGAUGCCAAGGGUGAGCACCAGGGACCCCAGCCUGGCCCCUCCUUAUGAUCAUUUUUAUUAUUGUUGCAUGUAGAAAAGAAACUAUGCAUAAUAAGGGCCUGUAACAUUUGGAACAUUAACAAAUUAAUGUUCUUAUUCCUCCUUCAUUAAUCUUACUAUACUUUUUUGAAGAAUUAUAUAG
rnacentral:lncRNA from 9 species